AUUGUCAAAAAGAGAACCAAAAAGUUCAUCUGGCACCGGUCUGACCAAUACGUCAAAAUUAACCGUAACUGGCGGAAACCCAGAGGUAUUCACAACGGGGUUCAUAGAAGGUUCAAGGGCCAGAUCUCGAUGCCCAACAGUGGUUAUGGGAGCAACAAAAAAAAACAAAGAACACGCUGCCCAGUGGCUUCCAGAAGUUCCUGGUCCACAACAUCAAGGAGCUGGAAGUGCUGCUGAUGUGCAACAAUCUCCCUGUGCUGACAUCGCUCACAACGUUUCCUCUAAGAACCACGAAGCCAUCGUGGAAAGAGCUGCCCAGCUGGUCAUCAGAGUCACCAACCCCAAUGCCAGGCUGCGCAGCAAAGAAAAUGAG
rnacentral:lncRNA from 1 species